rnacentral:misc_RNA from 1 species
AAACCAGUUGGGCAUCAGAAUCAUACUAAUGGAAAAGAUGGUCCUCGGGUUAUGCAUUCACCGCCAGGCUUUGGACAAAGAGUUGCUGAGCAAGUAUGUUCUCCUGGUGGAAACCUCAAGCGUGUUACUAGAAGUUCAAGAUCAAAGGGAGAUGCUGAUGAGAAUGAGGGCAUGCUGCCAGAUAACCUCACGGAGUCUCUAGAGCAGUUAAAAGCAGAGAAUCAUGAGCUUAAAGAAAGGUUGCGGAGGAAAGAGGAAGAGAUUUUAGGUGAUCUGUUACGUGAUUUACAGCAUGAAAGAGAGAGAUCCAAAUCACUUGAAGCUCAGCUGCAGGAGUCUACCAGAAAAUUAGAGGAACUUAACAAGGAGCAAGAAAGUUUAAUAGACAUAUUCACGGAGGAGAGACAACGCCGCGAUAUGGAGGAGGAGAACUUAAGAAAGAAGUUGAAGGAUGCAUCAAAUACUGUACAAGAGCUUCUUGACAAGGUGCAGGUUCUGGAGAAGACAAGGUCUGCCAAUUAUAGGUAGUUUAAAUCGUGUAGAGAACUCAGAGUCUCUCUUGGUUGUCCAUGCUGUACAUAUUAUGAGUGGUCCAUUGCACCAAAAUUCGUAGGAACAUCACUUUGGUGCAGUGGUUUUAACCUAAUUGUGCUUCCACUGCUAUUGAGCUUCGGGCACACAUGCAUUGCUCAUUUCUUCUCCAAGUUUCGGUUGUCUUGUCUAGUAGGGUGGUUUAUAGUGAACCUCGAUUCCCUAUUGUCUUUAGAACGUGAAGCCUCUCAUCUUCUUAGCUUUGAAGUGUGCUGGAAUUGACAUUUUUUGUUGCCUUACAAGUUGUUAGGAGAAAUAUCAAUGCAGAAUUUUUUCCCAGGAUGGUGUGCCACUGUAUUGUAAAUAUUUUAGAAAAUGGCCAGACUUAUUAGAUCGGA